GACGAACGCUGGCGGCGCGCCUAACACAUGCAAGUCGAACGAGAGAGAGGAAGCUUGCUUCCUUAAUCGAGUGGCGAACGGGUGAGUAACGCGUGAGGAACCUGCCUCAAAGAGGGGGACAACAGUUGGAAACGACUGCUAAUACCGCAUAAGCCCACAGCUCGGCAUCGAGCAGAGGGAAAAGGAGUGAUCCGCUUUGAGAUGGCCUCGCGUCCGAUUAGCUGGUUGGUGAGGUAACGGCCCACCAAGGCGACGAUCGGUAGCCGGACUGAGAGGUUGAACGGCCACAUUGGGACUGAGACACGGCCCAGACUCCUACGGGAGGCAGCAGUGGGGAAUAUUGCACAAUGGGGGAAACCCUGAUGCAGCGACGCCGCGUGGAGGAAGAAGGUCUUCGGAUUGUAAACUCCUGUUGUUGAGGAAGAUAAUGACGGUACUCAACAAGGAAGUGACGGCUAACUACGUGCCAGCAGCCGCGGUAAAACGUAGGUCACAAGCGUUGUCCGGAAUUACUGGGUGUAAAGGGAGCGCAGGCGGGAAAGCAAGUUGGAAGUGAAAUCCAUGGGCUCAACCCAUGAACUGCUUUCAAAACUGUUUUUCUUGAGUAGUGCAGAGGUAGGCGGAAUUCCCGGUGUAGCGGUGGAAUGCGUAGAUAUCGGGAGGAACACCAGUGGCGAAGGCGGCCUACUGGGCACCAACUGACGCUGAGGCUCGAAAGUGUGGGUAGCAAACAGG
rnacentral:rRNA from 1 species